ACCAAAGGCCGGGCAACCGGUCACUGAAGGAUGGGCCUGCGUCUGAUUAGCUGGUUGGUGGGGUAACGGCCCACCAAGGCGACGAUCAGUAGCCGGUCUGAGAGGAUGAACGGCCACAUUGGGACUGAGACACGGCCCAAACUCCUACGGGAGGCAGCAGUGGGGAAUCUUCCGCAAUGGGCGCAAGCCUGACGGAGCAACGCCGCGUGAGUGAAGAAGGUUUUCGGAUCGUAAAGCUCUGUUGAGAGGGACGAGAGGCAAGGCUAGGAAAUGAGCUUUGUAGGACGGUACCUUUCGAGGAAGCCACGGCUAACUACGUGCCAGCAGCCGCGGUAAUACGUAGGUGGCGAGCGUUGUCCGGAAUUAUUGGGCGUAAAGGGAGCGCAGGUGGGAAAGUAAGUCAGUCUUAAAAGUGCGGGGCUCAACCCCGUGAGGGGAUUGAAACUACUUUUCUUGAGUGCAGGAGAGGAAAGCGGAAUUCCUAGUGUAGCGGUGAAAUGCGUAGAUAUUAGGAGGAACACCAGUGGCGAAGGCGGCUUUCUGGACUGUAACUGACACUGAGGCUCGAAAGUCAGGGGAGCGAACGGGAUUAGAUACCCCGGUAGUCCUGGCCGUAAACGAUGGAUACUAGGUGUAGGAGGUAUCGACCCCUUCUGUGCCGGAGUUAACGCAAUAAGUAUCCCGCCUGGGGAGUACGGUCGCAAGACUGAAACUCAAAGGAAUUGACGGGGGCCCGCACAAGCGGUGGAGUAUGUGGUUU
rnacentral:rRNA from 1 species